rnacentral:rRNA from 1 species
AUUGAACGCUGGCGGAAUGCUUUACACAUGCAAGUCGAACGGCAGCACGGACUUCGGUCUGGUGGCGAGUGGCGAACGGGUGAGUAAUGUAUCGGAACGUGCCCAGUCGUGGGGGAUAACGUAGUGAAAAUUACGCUAAUACCGCAUACGAUCUAUGGAUGAAAGCGGGGGAUCGCAAAACCUCGCGCGAUUGGAACGGCCGAUCACAGAUUAGGUAGUUGGUGGGGUAAAGGGCCACCAAGCCAACGAUCGGUAGGUGGUCUGGGAGGACGACCAGCCACACUGGGACUGAGACACGGUCCAGACUCCAACGGGAGGCAGCAGUGGGGAAUUUUGGACAAUGGGCGAAAGCCUGAUCCAGCCAUUCCGCGUGCAGGAUGAAGGCCCUCGGGUUGUAAACUGCUUUUGUACAGAACGAAAAGGUUUCUACUAAUACUAGGAGCUCAUGACGGUACUGUAAGAAUAAGCACCGGCUAGCUACGUGCCAGCCGCCGCGGUAA